UGCUCGUGCAUUUUCGUCUUGGCACAGAAGCUGUGUGGCAUGUACCUUCUUUGAUUGGCUUCGCUGAUGGCACCGGCGUAGUAUUCGUGAAGACAGAGACUGGAAGAGUGUUCUCCGUUGAGCUCGAGUCAGGCCGUUACCAGAAGAUAUCGUUUCCGAGGUUCCAUAAUGGCGACCCCGGUCAAGAACCAAUAAUCAUACCUUACAUGAGCUUUUACACUCCAGAUCGCGCUAAAGGAAGAUCUCUCCAUUGCCCUGAGGAGGCAUGAUUCAUGCAUUAACAUCAACCUGCUGAUGUCAGUGUUCGCUUCUUGGAAGCCUGAUGCUUCAACUGUUCUUUGAUUCAUACCUCGGAGUGGAAAUAGACAUAGCAGAAGUUAGAUGGUUACUAAACGGCGAUGGUAGAGGCUUAUAAUAGUCAUGUGUUUUAUCAACUAUACCUUUUCGGGCCGUGGUGCAGAAAGAUUUACAUCGCCAUGAGGAGGCAGCAUGCAUGAAACCCGAAUCUUCCAAGUGUUUUUUUUUUGUUUUCGGGCCGAGGAUUUAGUUACUUUGGUAGAUUGGUAUGUUUUAUUAUUUUAGUUGGACAGUUCUUACAAGAAAAGAGUAGGUAAUUACUGUCAAGGCAGCAAUGUUUGUUUCUACUGUA